UACGAAGGGGGCUAGCGUUGCUCGGAAUCACUGGGCGUAAAGGGUGCGUAGGCGGAUCUUUAAGUCAGGGGUGAAAUCCUGGAGCUCAACUCCAGAACUGCCUUUGAUACUGGGGAUCUCGAGUCCGGAAGAGGUGAGUGGAACUCCGAGUGUAGAGGUGAAAUUCGUAGAUAUUCGGAAGAACACCAGUGGCGAAGGCGGCUCACUGGUCCGGUACUGACGCUGAGGUGCGAAAGCGUGGGGAGCAAACAGG
rnacentral:rRNA from 1 species